GAUGAACGCUGGCGGCGUGCCUAAUACAUGCAAGUCGAGCGAACGGACGAGAAGCUUGCUUCUCUGAUGUUAGCGGCGGACGGGUGAGUAACACGUGGAUAACCUACCUAUAAGACUGGGAUAACUUCGGGAAACCGGAGCUAAUACCGGAUAAUAUUUUGAACCGCAUGGUUCAAAAGUGAAAGACGGUCUUGCUGUCACUUAUAGAUGGAUCCGCGCUGCAUUAGCUAGUUGGUAAGGUAACGGCUUACCAAGGCAACGAUGCAUAGCCGACCUGAGAGGAUGACCGGCCACACGGGAACGGAGACACGGACCAGACUCCUACGGGAGGCAGCAGUGGGGAAUCUUCGACAAUGGGCGAAAGCCGGAGGGAGCAAGGCCGCGGGAGUGAAGAAGGUCUUCGGAUCGUAAAACUUUUUUAUUGGGAAAGAAAAUAUGUAAAAGAAUCUGUGCCUAUCUUGACGGUACCUAAAGAAAAAGCACCGGCUAACUUCGUG
rnacentral:rRNA from 1 species